GUGAGGAAUUUUCCGCAAUGGGCGAAAGCCUGACGGAGCAAUGCCGCGUGAAGGAUGAAGGCCUAUGGGUUGUAAACUUCUUUUCUCAGAAAAGAAUUAUGACGGUAUCUGAGGAAUAAGCAUCGGCUAACUCUGUGCCAGCAGCCGCGGUAAGACAGAGGAUGCAAGCGUUAUCCGGAAUGAUUGGGCGUAAAGCGUCUGUAGGUUGUUUAAAAAGUAUUCUGUCAAAGAUUAGGGCUUAACCCUAGAUAGGCAGAAUAAACUUUUAAGCUAGAGUGUGGUAGAGGCAGAGGGAAUUCCCGGUGGAGCGGUGAAAUGCGUAGAUAUCGGGAGGAACACCAAAGGCGAAGGCACUCUGCUGGGCCAAUACUAACACUGAGAGACGAAAGCGAGGGGAGCAAAUGGGAUUAGAAACCCCUGUAGUCC
rnacentral:rRNA from 1 species